rnacentral:rRNA from 1 species
AGAGCUUGAUCCUGGCUCAGGACGAACGCUGGCGGCACGCUUAACACAUGCAAGUCGAACGAGAGAAGAGGAGCUUGCUUUUCUGAUCUAGUGGCGGACGGGUGAGUAACACGUGAGCAAUCUGCCUUUCAGAGGGGGAUACCGAUUGGAAACGAUCGUUAAUACCGCAUAACAUAAUUGAACCGCAUGAUUUGAUUAUCAAAGAUUUAUCGCUGAAAGAUGAGCUCGCGUCUGAUUAGCUAGUUGGUAAGGUAACGGCUUACCAAGGCGACGAUCAGUAGCCGGACUGAGAGGUUGAUCGGCCACAUUGGGACUGAGACACGGCCCAGACUCCUACGGGAGGCAGCAGUGGGGAAUAUUGCACAAUGGAGGAAACUCUGAUGCAGCGAUGCCGCGUGAGGGAAGAAGGUUUUAGGAUUGUAAACCUCUGUCUUCAGGGACGAAAAAAGACGGUACCUGAGGAGGAAGCUCCGGCUAACUACGUGCCAGCAGCCGCGGUAAUACGUAGGGAGCGAGCGUUGUCCGGAAUUACUGGGUGUAAAGGGAGCGUAGGCGGGAUCGCAAGUCAGAUGUGAAAACUAUGGGCUUAACCCAUAAACUGCAUUUGAAACUGUGGUUCUUGAGUGAAGUAGAGGUAAGCGGAAUUCCUAGUGUAGCGGUGAAAUGCGUAGAUAUUAGGAGGAACAUCAGUGGCGAAGGCGGCUUACUGGGCUUUAACUGACGCUGAGGCUCGAAAGCGUGGGGAGCAAACAGGAUUAGAUACCCUGGUAGUCCACGCCGUAAACGAUGAUUACUAGGUGUGGGGGGACUGACCCCUUCCGUGCCGCAGCAAACGCAAUAAGUAAUCCACCUGGGGAGUACGACCGCAAGGUUGAAACUCAAAGGAAUUGACGGGGGCCCGCACAAGCAGUGGAGUAUGUGGAUUAAUUCGAAGCAACGCGAAGAACCUUACCAGGUCUUGACAUCGUAUGCAUAGCUCAGAGAUGAGUGAAAUCUCUUCGGAGACAUAUAGACAGGUGGUGCAUGGUUGUCGUCAGCUCGUGUCGUGAGAUGUUGGGUUAAGUCCCGCAACGAGCGCAACCCUUACUGUUAGUUGCUACGCAAGAGCACUCUAGCAGGACUGCCGUUGACAAAACGGAGGAAGGUGGGGAUGACGUCAAAUCAUCAUGCCCCUUAUGACCUGGGCCUCACACGUACUACAAUGGCUGUCAACAGAGGGAAGCAAAGCCGCGAGGUGGAGCGAACCCCUAAAAGCAGUCUUAGUUCGGAUUGUAGGCUGCAACCCGCCUACAUGAAGUCGGAAUUGCUAGUAAUCGCAGAUCAGCAUGCUGCGGUGAAUACGUUCCCGGGCCUUGUACACACCGCCCGUCACGCCAUGGGAGUCGGUAACACCCGAAGCCUGUAGUCUAACCGCAAGGAGGACGCAGUCGAAGGUGGGAUUGAUGACUGGGGUGAAGUCGAAACAAGGUA